ensembl:lncRNA
GUUUUACACUCUUUGGCCACCUGUUGGUUUUGUGAGCGAAUUAAGCUUUGAGAAAUGAACCCUUUUGUGAUCCACUUGGAUGAAAAGCUUCAAAAGGCUUCAUCUCACCAUCACUAGAUAAAACGGUAUGUUUAAUUGUGACCAAUGCGUAUUAGAGAAAAACAUUUAUUUCAUAAUUAGAUUUCUCUCCAAUUUUAAAUUCUUCUUCUCCAAUGAAAGGGGAGGCACAAAAUGGGGGGUAAUGUUUUCGAUUUGAAUCAUAGCUGUCAACCCUCCCGUGUUUUCCGGGUUUCUCACGUAUUUUAGCUCUUUUCCUGCUGUCUUCCCGUUUUAGUAUUUUCCCGUAAAAUAUCCCGUAUUUUUACACUCUGAUUUUGUUAACUCAGAACACGCAACUAUCUGUGUCUGUGAAAGUGGCUUGCACUUGGGUUGCUAGACCUCCAGUAAAGCAGGUGGCAGUAUUCAGUAGCUUAGGCUACUAUCGAAGAAGAAGACAGCUGCAGCGGCGCCGGCGGGCGGGAGGAAGAGGGAAAAAGUAGCAGGAAGUGAACUUCGAGAGUAGAUGAGUGUGAUGUGCGAUGAUGGAUCAGGACGCCGGCGGCCAAAAUCACUGAGUUAAUCACCAACCAAAACCGAGGACAUUAUGCCGAUAUCUGAGUAAAUGGGAGACCACCUUCCACUACCUGACAAGCAGCCAUGUAGGUCCAAAUUAUGCCUACUGCAAAAUUUGUCGUUGUAAUUUCAGUGUUGGUCAUGGAGGGAAAAACGACGUUUCGCAGCACGACAAAUCACCAUAACACAAGCGCGCGAGUGAGUGAGCUAGGCACACAACAUCAUUAUCAUCAUUCAUGGUGAACCGUGCCUCGUCUGAAGCUGAUCAGAUAUUGAAAGCUGAGGUGAAAAUGUCGAUGCUAAUUGCCUAAUAUAACGUCGCGUUCAGUUUUUUGGACGACUUCAACCGUAGUGUGGCUGACAUGUUCCCGGAUUCAGCGAUUGCCAAGAAAUACACUCUGGGGAAAACGAAGGCUACACAAAUCAUUAAAGCACUGGACAUGGAUGAAGAUGUGACAUCAAUCUGUAAAUCCCAGCCUUUCUCUCUUUUAUGUGAUGAGUCCAACAACAGAAACGCUGAUAAGCAAUUUGUCAUACUUGCAAGGGUAUACAAUGAGGCAAACCUGGAAGUAGCUACAAAGUUUCUAGACAUGCCCACAUGCAAAGUGGGCAAGGCAGAAAAGUUGUUUAACAAGCUGGACAUAACACUAAGGAAUCGUGGCAUUCCCUGGACAAAUCUGAUUGCAUUCAAUUCCGAUAACGCAAGUGUCAUGAAAGGCAGGCACAACUCAGUAAUAAGUAGGGUUAAAACAAACCAGCCUAAUGUGCAAGAUCUCGGCUGCAUCUGCCACCUAGUCCAGCUUGCCACUGGUUGUGGCAUGAAGGCUGCAAAGCUGCCUGUGGAAGCAUACUGGUGGGCAUUUACACCCACUUUGACAAAAGGUAAAACUCAUACAUGUAGACAUGCACUCUUUUCUCUCACUCAUCUGUAUAACUGUUAUCGUGUUAACUGA